GAUGCCACAAACCUUGUCCUCAAUUGCAACCAAAGAUUUUUUGGAUGAACCGCCAUGAUGAUCGGAUGAAGGCUUUCAGUUGUCCAGGCCAGGCCAGGUGACCAAUGACGAUGAUAGAUCGGGUUCGAUUCAAGCUAUAUACGCUUGGUGUAUUUGGUUAUCGUGACUGGCGACUUGAGUCUAUCUCAUCUCAUUUCCAAAGCGCGGUGGCUGGGUCCCAGGUAUGCUUGCCACUUUGUUCUGCGGUCCUCAUCUAAGUUUCGACGGUGAUGAUAUGGACUUAGGUUCAGGGUACGUGUUCCCCUUGAGUCAUUGUGGUUGAUUGAUGGGGGCAAUAAGAGUUGCGUGUCGCUAGUCAUUCAAUUGGUCCCCUUGUUUUAGAGUGUUGGCGGGAUAAGUCUUACGACUGUUAACAAUAGUAAGCAAUAGCUGGCCAGCGAUCCCCUACCUGAUCUCGAGGGGGAUGGAAUGACUGGGGUUGAGACCUGUUGUUAGCCUGCGGAAUUUCGUCGGACGAAAUGUCAGGCGUGUCCGUGUGGUACUUGUGCUAAACCAGUUUAGUGCUAUUGACGAAGACAUUGGGCUCUUUGGAUAACAACAGUGUUCUUGACCUCCUUGUGCUCCACAAAGCUUAUAUAUACCCGCUGAAAUCGACAAGACGGCGAUGAAGAAGGAGAGCCGGCCUCCAACUCGUCAGCCGAGAAGACACUGGAUGGACCCGAAGAAGAUGUUGCUGCCAAUGUUGGAGCCAUAAAGGGCAGCCCGAGGCAACAUUGUACAAGGGCCACAAGGACAAGGGACACAAGGACAAGGGACACA